rnacentral:rRNA from 1 species
GACGAACGCUGGCGGCGUGCUUAACACAUGCAAGUCGUACGGUAAGGCCCUUUCGGGGGUACACGAGUGGCGAACGGGUGAGUAACACGUGAGUAACCUGCCCACAACUUUGGGAUAACGCUAGGAAACUGGUGCUAAUACUGGAUAUGUGCUCCUGCUGCAUGGUGGGGGUUGGAAAGCUCCGGCGGUUGUGGAUGGACUCGCGACCUAUCAGCUUGUUGGUGGGGUAGUGGCCUACCAAGGCGGCGACGGGUAGCCGGCCUGGGAGGGUGACCGGCCACAUUGGGACUGAGAGACGGCCCAGAUUCCUACUGGAGGCAGCAGUGGGGAAUAUUGCACAAUGGGCGCAAGCCUGAUGCAGCAACGCCGCGUGCGGGAUGACGGCCUUCGGGUUGUAAACCACUUUCAGCAGGGACGAAGCUUUUUGUGACGGUACCUGCAGAAGAAGCACCGGCUAACUACGUG